rnacentral:rRNA from 1 species
CGGGGUGAGCAACGCGUGGAUAACCUGCCUCACACUGGGGGAUAACAGUUAGAAAUGGCUGCUAAUACCGCAUAAGCGCACAGUACCGCAUGGUACGGUGUGAAAAACCCAGGUGGUGUGAGAUGGAUCCGCGUCUGAUUAGCCAGUUGGCGGGGUAACGGCCCACCAAAGCGACGAUCAGUAGCCGACCUGAGAGGGUGACCGGCCACAUUGGGACUGAGACACGGCCCAA